rnacentral:miRNA from 1 species
CACUUAAUAGACCGCAACCUGC